rnacentral:rRNA from 1 species
UACGUAGGUCCCGAGCGUUGUCCGGAUUUAUUGGGCGUAAAGCGGGCGCAGGUGGUUUAUUAAGUCUGGUGUAAAAGGCAGUGGCUCAACCAUUGUAUGCAUUGGAAACUGGUAGACUUGAGUGCAGGAGAGGAGAGUGGAAUUCCAUGUGUAGCGGUGAAAUGCGUAGAUAUAUGGAGGAACCCCGGUGGCGAAAGCGGCUCUCUGGCCUGUAACUGACACUGAGGCUCGAAAGCGUGGGGAGCAAACAGG